AGGGAAUAUUGGGCAAUGGACGAGAGUCUGACCCAGCCAUGCCGCGUGCAGGAAGAAGGCUUUCUGAGUCGUAAACUGCUUUUGACAGGGAAGAAUACGCCCUACGUGUAGUGUGAUGACGGUACCUGCAGAAUAAGCACCGGCUAACUCCGUGCCAGCAGCCGCGGUAAUACGUAGGUGGCGAGCGUUAUCCGGAAUUACUGGGCGUAAAGCGCACGCAGGCGGUUCGGCAAGUUCGACGUGAAAACUCCCGGCUUAACUGGGAGAGGUCGUUGAAAACUGCCGGGCUUGAGGCAAUGAGAGGGGUGUAGAAUUCCCGGUGUAGUGGUGGAAUGCGUAGAUAUCGGGGGGAAUACCAGUGGCGAAAGCGGCACCCUAGCGUUGUUCUGACGCUCAUGUGCGAAAGCGUGGGGAGCGAA
rnacentral:rRNA from 1 species